GACGGGGACCCGCACAAGCGGUGGAUGAUGUGGAUUAAUUCGAUGCAACGCGAAAAACCUUACCUACCCUUGACAUGUACGGAACCCUGCUGAGAGGUGGGGGUGCUCGAAAGAGAGCCGUAACACAGGUGCUGCAUGGCUGUCGUCAGCUCGUGUCGUGAGAUGUUGGGUUAAGUCCCGCAACGAGCGCAACCCUUGUCAUUAGUUGCUACGCAAGAGCACUCUAAUGAGACUGCCGGUGACAAACCGGAGGAAGGUGGGGAUGACGUCAAGUCCUCAUGGCCCUUAUGGGUAGGGCUUCACACGUCAUACAAUGGUCGGUACAGAGGGUUGCCAAGCCGCGAGGUGGAGCCAAUCCCAGAAAGCCGAUCGUAGUCCGGAUCGCAGUCUGCAACUCGACUGCGUGAAGUCGGAAUCGCUAGUAAUCGCGGAUCCAGCAUGCCGCGGUGAAGUACGUUCCGGUCUU
rnacentral:rRNA from 1 species